rnacentral:rRNA from 1 species
GACAGAGGGUGCAAACGUUGCUCGGAAUUACUGGGCGUAAAGCGUGUGUAGGUGGAUUGGUGUGUCAGAUGUGAAAUCCCUGGGCUCAACCCAGGAACUGCACCUGAAACUACCAGUCUUGAGUGGUGGAGAGGGAAGUGGAAUUCCUGGUGUAGAGGUGAAAUUCGUAGAUAUCGGGAGGAACACCAGUGGCGAAGGCGGCGACCUGGACAGAUAUUGACGCUGAGGUGCGAAAGCGUGGGGAGCGAUCCGG